rnacentral:lncRNA from 1 species
CCAGGAUAAGCCAUAUUGCCUUUGAAUUCUCUUCAGCUGCGUGGCUGCUCGGGGUUCUCUCUGCCCUUUGGUACCACGCCUGUGGGCACCCACAUGGCUGGCAGCAUCCUCUGCCGAUCACACUGGUCUCGCAACAGAGAUAUAAGAGAGGUACAACACAAAAAGGGGUGAAACAAAGUUUUAAAUAAAUAAAUAAAUAAAUAAAUAAAUAAAUAAAUAAAUAAAGGAAACUAAGUCCACUACUCCUCCUACAUCUGUAGAUAUGCUUGUGGACGUGUCUACGUUACACGUGGUUUCACAUCUGCAGUAUUCAUCUCCUAAGCCUAACAGACCAUGAAGCCUAUUAACAGAGCGCUGAGUUUAAGACGAUGAAUUUUGCUGGGAUGUAGUAUGAUGUAGCUCGUAUUUCACGAGCAGGCUGGCAUGCAUAUUGGUCCUCAACUGGCUCUUGUCCUGCAAAUUCAGUGAUGGAAGUACCCACACUUACCCCUACAGCAUGAAGGAAGGAGAAACACAAAGCAUUUUGAUAACCCUGAAAAACCUGCCUAAGACUUCUGAUCUUAGGGCACCUGUGUGUGCAUGCAACAUCUUCUUAAAAGUCUAUGACAUCCUUCAUUAACUCUCACUGAUGGAAAGGGAGCAUUUAGUCCAAGAAUUUUUACUACACCAGGCGAGGCAAGACAAGGCAAGGAUGCCAGGAGGUCAAAAAUAAUUCAGAAUUUGCACCACACUGUAUUUUUGUUUGGACAAGUGCUUUUUUUAAUAAAAGAAGCUCUGUCAUAAUCCCUGCAAUUAAUAAAAUUAUCUGAAGGUAUUACAUUAAA